rnacentral:rRNA from 1 species
UACGUAGGGUGCAAGCGUUAAUCGGAAUUACUGGGCGUAAAGCGUGCGCAGGCGGUUUUGUAAGUCAGAUGUGAAAUCCCCGGGCUUAACCUGGGAACUGCGUUUGAAACUACAAGGCUAGAGUGUGGCAGAGGGGGUGGAAUUCCGACGGUGUAGCAGGUGAAAUGCGUAGAGAUGUGGAGGAACACCGAUGGCGAAGGCAGCCCCCUGGGUUAACACUGACGCUCAGGCACGAAAGCGUGGGGAGCAAACAGGAUU